UACGAAGGGGGCUAGCGUUGCUCGGAAUUACUGGGCGUAAAGUGUGCGCAGGCGGCAGAGCAAGUCGAGUGUGAAAGCCCCGGGCUUAACUUGGGAAUUGCGCUCGAAACUACUUUGCUGGAGUGUGGCAGAGGAAGGUGGAAUUCCACGUGUAGCGGUGAAAUGCGUAGAGAUGUGGAGGAGCACCAAUGGCGAAGGCAGCCUUCUGGGCCAACACUGACGCUCAUGCACGAAAGCGUGGGGAGCAAACAGG
rnacentral:rRNA from 1 species